rnacentral:rRNA from 1 species
GAUGAACGCUGGCGGCGUGCCUAAUACAUGCAAGUCGAGCGAACGGACGAGAAGCUUGCUUCUCUGAUGUUAGCGGCGGACGGGUGAGUAACACGUGGAUAACCUACCUAUGAGACUGGGAUAACUUCGGGAAACCGGAGCUAAUACCGGAUGAUAUUUUGAACCGCAUGGUUCAAAAGUGAAAGACGGUCUUGCUGUCACUUAUAGAUGGAUCCGCGCUGCAUUAGCUAGUUGGUAAGGUAACGGCUUACCAAGGCAACGAUGCAUAGCCGACCUGAGAGGGUGAUCGGCCACACUGGAACUGAGACACGGUCCAGACUCCUACGGGAGGCAGCAGUAUGGAAUCUUCCGCAAUGGGCGAAAGCCUGACGGAGCAACGCCGCGUGAGUGAUGAAGGUCUUCGGAUCGUAAAACUCUGUUAUUAGGGAAGAACAUAUGUGUAAGUAACUGUGCACAUCUUGACGGUACCUAAUCAGAAAGCCACGGCUAACUACGUG